rnacentral:misc_RNA from 1 species
UCCGGCUUAUCACCGGCAGUCCCCUUAGAGUGCCCAACUAAAUGAUGGCAACUAAGGGCGAGGGUUGCGCUCGUUGCGGGACUUAACCCGACAUCUCACGACACGAGCUGACGACAGCCAUGCAGCACCUGUACUUGUUGUACCCCGAAGGGCCUACUCCACUUUCAUGGAGAUAAUCCAAGCAUGUCAAGCCCAGGUAAGGUUCUGCGCGUUGCUUCGAAUUGAACCACAUGCUCCACCGCUUGUGUGAGCCCCCGUCAAUCCCUUUGAGUUUUAGCCUUGCGACCGUACUUCCCAGGCGGUCGACUUAGCACUUUUGCUUCGACCGUAAUAGCGUCAGAGCCACUACGAUCUAGUCGACAUCGUUUACAGCCAGGACUA